rnacentral:rRNA from 1 species
CAGCCACGGUAAAACCAGCCCCGCGAGUGGUUGGGACGGGUUAUUGGGCCUAAAGCGUCCGUAGCCGGCCUAAUAAGUCUCUGGUUAAAAUCUCAAGGCUUAACCUUGAGAUCGCUGGAGAUACUGUUAGGCUAGGGGGCGGGAGAGGUUGAGGGUACUUCGCGGGUAGGGGCGAAAUCCUAUAAUCCGCGAAGGACCACCAGUGGCGAAGGC